GGGCGGAUAGCUCAGUUGGAAGAGCAUCUCUCUUACACAGAGAAGGUCACAGGUUCGAGCCCUGUUUCGCCCACCA
rnacentral:tRNA from 1 species